GACGAACGCUGGCGGCGCGCCUAACACAUGCAAGUCGAACGAGCGAGAGAGAGCUUGCUUUCUCGAGCGAGUGGCGAACGGGUGAGUAACGCGUGAGGAACCUGCCUCAAAGAGGGGGACAACAGUUGGAAACGACUGCUAAUACCGCAUAAGCCCACGGCUCGGCAUCGAGCAGAGGGAAAAGGAGCAAUCCGCUUUGAGAUGGCCUCGCGUCCGAUUAGCUAGUUGGUGAGGUAACGGCCCACCAAGGCAACGAUCGGUAGCCGGACUGAGAGGUUGAACGGCCACAUUGGGACUGAGACACGGCCCAGACUCCUACGGGAGGCAGCAGUGGGGAAUAUUGCACAAUGGGGGAAACCCUGAUGCAGCGACGCCGCGUGGAGGAAGAAGGUCUUCGGAUUGUAAACUCCUGUUGUUGGGGAAGAUAAUGACGGUACCCAACAAGGAAGUGACGGCUAACUACGUGCCAGCAGCCGCGGUAAAACGUAGGUCACAAGCGUUGUCCGGAAUUACUGGGUGUAAAGGGAGCGCAGGCGGGAAGACAAGUUGGAAGUGAAAUCUAUGGGCUCAACCCAUAAACUGCUUUCAAAACUGUUUUUCUUGAGUAGUGCAGAGGUAGGCGGAAUUCCCGGUGUAGCGGUGGAAUGCGUAGAUAUCGGGAGGAACACCAGUGGCGGAGGCGGCCUACUGGGCACCAACUGACGCUGAGGCUCGAAAGUGUGGGUAGCAAACAGGAUUAGAUACCCUGGUAGUCCACACCGUAAACGAUGAUUACUAGGUGUUGGAGGAUUGACCCCUUCAGUGCCGCAGUUAACACAAUAAGUAAUCCACCUGGGGAGUACGACCGCAAGGUUGAAACUCAAAGGAAUUGACGGGGGCCCGCACAAGCAGUGGAGUAUGUGGUUUAAUUCGACGCAACGCGAAGAACCUUACCAAGUCUUGACAUCCCUUGACAGGCAUAGAAAUAUGUUUUCUCUUCGGAGCAAGGAGACAGGUGGUGCAUGGUUGUCGUCAGCUCGUGUCGUGAGAUGUUGGGUUAAGUCCCGCAACGAGCGCAACCCUUAUGCGUCAGUUACUACGCAAGAGGACUCUGGCCAGACUGCCGUUGACAAAACGGAGGAAGGUGGGGAUGACGUCAAAUCAUCAUGCCCUUUAUGACUUGGGCUACACACGUACUACAAUGGCGUUAAACAAAGAGAAGCAAGACCGCGAGGUGGAGCAAAACUCAGAAACAACGUCCCAGUUCGGACUGCAGGCUGCAACUCGCCUGCACGAAGUCGGAAUUGCUAGUAAUCGUGGAUCAGCAUGCCACGGUGAAUACGUUCCCGGGCCU
rnacentral:rRNA from 1 species